GGGAAUAUUGCACAAUGGGGGAAACCCUGAUGCAGCGACGCCGCGUGAAGGAAGAAGUAUUUCGGUAUGUAAACUUCUAUCAGCAGGGAAGAAAAAAGACGGUACCUGACUAAGAAGUCCCGGCUAACUACGUGCCAGCAGCCGCGGUAAUACGUAGGGGGCAAGCGUUAUCCGGAUUUACUGGGUGUAAAGGGAGCGUAGGCGGUGCGCCAAGCUGGGUGUGAAAGGCCGGGGCUCAACCCCGGGACUGCACUCGGAACUGGCGUGCUAGAGUGUUGGAGAGGUAAGCGGAAUUCCUAGUGUAGCGGUGAAAUGCGUAGAUAUUAGGAGGAACACCAGUGGCGAAGGCGGCUUACUGGACUGUAAAUGACGCUGAGGCUCGAAAGCGUGGGGAGCAAACAGGA
rnacentral:rRNA from 1 species